UUCGGCGGUGGAAUAAAACAAGAGCCCUAGCGCCGGAACGGUUGCCGCGUGACGUUGCUUACUUGAAACGUAAAUCGGAGGCAGAUCUGGAAGAUAACAACAUAACAUGGCGUUGCAUUAGAUCUCACUUCACUGCGGCAAAACCAAAUUACCGAGCUAUAAUAUUCCUAUUUCCUACCACCAAACAUAUAAAGGCCCUUCGUCUACGUCGUCGUCGUCUGGGCGCCAUAGCAUUUGCCUGCCAGCUCGCUUCCUCAAUACACCUCCCCCAUGGAGGAUGCCUACGCCAGAUCUGUCUCCGAGGUUCUGGAAUUCUUUAGUGUGGACCCGACGAAAGGCCUUACUGAUUUCCAGGUUGCAGAACAUGCCAGACUUUAUGGUAGAAAUGUGCUGCCUCAGGAGGGAAGCACUCCCUUUUGGAAACUGGUUCUGAAGCAAUUUGAUGAUUUGCUGGUUAAGAUAUUGAUUGCUGCUGCCAUUGUUUCUUUCCUUUUAGCUUUAAUUAAUGGGGAGACAGGCUUAACGGCAUUCUUGGAACCGUCGGUUAUACUAAUGAUAUUGGCUGCUAAUGCCACAGUAGGUGUAAUUACAGAAACAAAUGCUGAGAAGGCUCUUGAAGAGCUCCGUGCCUACCAAGCUGAUAUUGCAACUGUCUUGCGAAAUGGUUGCUUCUCAAUAUUACCUGCAACAGACAUUGUCCCUGGGGAUAUUGUAGAAGUUAGUAUGGGUUCCAAAAUUCCAGCAGAUAUGAGAAUGAUUGAGAUGUUAAGCGAUCAAUUACGUGUAGAUCAAGCAAUUCUCACAGGUGAGAGCUGUUCUGUAGAAAAAGAGAUUGGUUCUACCCUGGCAACAAAUGCUGUUUAUCAAGACAAGACAAAUAUUCUAUUCUCGGGAACAGUGGUGGUUGCUGGUAGGGCAAGAGCUGUGGUUGUUGGAGUUGGGUCAAACACAGCAAUGGGCAGCAUCCGUGACUCUAUGUUGAGAACUGAAGAUGAAGUAACACCAUUGAAAAAGAAGCUGGAUGAGUUUGGUACUUUUCUGGCCAAGGUUAUUGCAGGUAUUUGUGUUUUAGUAUGGGUUGUAAACAUUGGUCAUUUUCGUGAUCCUGCUCAUGGUGGCUUCUUGCGAGGUGCAAUCCAUUAUUUUAAGAUUGCAGUUGCUCUUGCAGUUGCAGCUAUUCCUGAGGGACUUCCUGCAGUCGUUACCACGUGUUUGGCUCUUGGAACAAAGCGAAUGGCUCGGAUGAAUGCUAUUGUGAGGUCUCUUCCCUCUGUAGAGACCUUAGGCUGCACAACUGUAAUUUGUAGUGACAAGACUGGUACUCUGACAACAAAUAUGAUGUCUGUUUCAAAGAUAUGUGUGUUUCACUCUGUACAACUUGGUCCUACUACUAGUGAAUAUAGCAUAAGUGGGACUACAUAUGCACCCGAGGGCUUUAUUUUUGACAACAAUGGAUUGCAGCUUGAUUUUCCAGCUCAAUUGCCCUGUCUGCUCCAUAUAGCAACGUGCUCAGCUCUAUGCAAUGAGUCUGUUUUACAGUAUAAUCCGGACAAGGGGACCUAUGAAAAAAUUGGGGAGUCUACUGAAGUAGCUCUUCGUGUAUUGGUAGAGAAGGUUGGUCUUCCUGGAUUUGAUUCUAUGCCUUCCGCUCUGAAUAUGCUAAGCAAGCAUGAACGAGCUUCUUACUGCAAUCGCUAUUGGGAAAACCAAUUUAAAAAGGUCUCUGUUCUGGACUUUUCUCGUGAUCGCAAGAUGAUGAGUGUUCUUUGCAGCCGCAAGCAGAUGGAGAUCAUGUUCUCUAAGGGUGCUCCUGAGAAUAUCAUUUCUAGAUGUACAAGUAUCCUUUGUAAUGAUGAUGGUUCCACUGUUCCACUAACUGCCAAUAUUCGAGCUGAGUUAGAAUCAAAAUUCCACAGUUUUGCAGGAAAGGAAACCUUAAGAUGUCUUGCUUUGGCCUUGAAAAGGAUGCCCAUGGGUCAGCAGACUCUAACAUUUGACGAUGAAAAAGAUCUUACGUUUAUUGGGUUGGUUGGAAUGCUUGAUCCACCAAGGGAGGAAGUAAGAAAUGCCAUCCUCUCAUGCAUGACCGCUGGAAUACGUGUUAUAGUUGUCACAGGUGAUAACAAGAGCACUGCGGAAUCAUUAUCUCGAAAGCUUGGUGUUUUUGACCACUUGGUGGAUUUUGGUGCGUACUCUUAUACUGCUUCUGAGUUUGAAGAACUUCCGGCAUUGCAAAAAACAGUGGCUUUGCAACGCAUGACACUGUUCACUAGGGUCGAGCCAUCUCAUAAAAGAAUGCUGGUUGAAGCAUUACAGCACCAAAAUGAAGUGGUUGCCAUGACUGGUGACGGAGUGAAUGAUGCCCCUGCAUUAAAGAAAGCUGACAUAGGAAUUGCAAUGGGAUCAGGCACUGCAGUUGCCAAGAGUGCUUCAGAUAUGGUUUUGGCAGAUGACAAUUUUGCGACAAUUGUUGCGAUUUGUUACAAGCAGGCUGUUGCUGAGGGAAGAGCUAUAUACAAUAACACAAAGCAGUUCAUCCGAUACAUGAUUUCUUCAAACAUUGGUGAAGUUGUUUGUAUUUUUGUGGCAGCUGUACUUGGAAUACCUGAUACUCUUGUACCUGUCCAGCUGCUCUGGGUAAAUUUAGUUACUGAUGGAUUGCCUGCCACUGCUAUUGGUUUCAAUAAGCAGGACUGUGAUGUGAUGAAGGCUAAACCUCGUAAGGUUAAUGAAGCUGUUGUCACUGGUUGGCUAUUCUUCCGUUAUCUAGUUAUUGGAGCUUAUGUUGGGCUUGCUACUGUUGCUGGGUUCAUAUGGUGGUUUGUUUACUCUGACAGUGGGCCUAAACUACCAUAUGUAGAGUUGAUGAAUUUUGACUCUUGCUCAACAAGGGAAACAAGUUACCCGUGUAGUAUAUUCAAUGAUCGGCAUCCAUCAACUGUGUCCAUGACAGUGCUUGUUGUUGUUGAGAUGUUCAAUGCCUUGAAUAAUCUCAGCGAAAAUCAAUCACUUCUUGUUAUUCGUCCCUGGAGUAACUUGUGGCUUGUUGCUUCAAUUAUACUUACUAUACUCCUUCAUACACUUAUCUUGUAUGUGCAGCCUUUAUCUGUUCUUUUCUCUGUGACACCACUGUCUUGGUCUGAGUGGACUGUUGUCUUGUAUCUUUCAUUUCCAGUAAUAAUAAUUGAUGAGAUAUUGAAGUUCUUCUCAAGAACUUCUAGUGGAAUAAGGUUCAAUUUCAGAUUCAGGAGAGCUGAUAUGCUUCCAAAGCAAGAAUUGCAUGAUAAGUGACCAGUGGAAACCUAUGGUAACCAAAUUUUGCACCAAUUUCAGGUCAAACGGUAAAUUACCAAAGACAAUAUCUAUACAUGCUCACAUUACUCCUCCAGUCAGCUGGCUGCCCCUGCUGCUGUUGUAUGUUGUAACCAAUAGAGAAGACAACAGCAAUACUCUCGACUCUCAUACAAAUUACUUUGUCUAAGUUGCGGACUGAUAACAAGUUGGUGAGAACCAAAGGGCUGGGCUUUGCCUGGCAAGUACACUUGUGUAAAACUUUCCUGUUGUAUACAGUUUUUGAUGUGUCUAUUUACCUUACUGACCAAACAACAGAAAAAUAUGUACUUGAUAACCUAAACAUAAACUUUUCUUCA